rnacentral:rRNA from 1 species
UUAUGGCUCAGGAUGAACGCUAGCGACAGGCUUAACACAUGCAAGUCGAAGGGCAGCAUAAAAGUAGCAAUACUUGGUGGCGACCGGCGCACGGGUGAGUAACGCGUAUGCAACCUACCUAUCAGGAGGGGAAUAACCCGGCGAAAGUCGGACUAAUACUGCAUAAAACAGGGGCACCGCAUGGUGAUAUUUGUUAAAGAAAUUCGCUGAUAGAUGGGCAUGCGUUCCAUUAGGUAGUUGGUGAGGUAACGGCUCACCAAGCCGACGAUGGAUAGGGGAACUGAGAGGUUGGUCCCCCACACUGGUACUGAGACACGGACCAGACUCCUACGGGAGGCAGCAGUGAGGAAUAUUGGUCAAUGGGCGGGAGCCUGAACCAGCCAAGUCGCGUGAAGGAAGAAGGAUCUAUGGUUCGUAAACUCCUUUUGCAGGGGAAUAAAGUGCAGGACGUGUCCUGUUUUGUAUGUACCCUGAGAAUAAGGAUCGGCUAACUCCGUGCCAGCCGCCGC